rnacentral:rRNA from 1 species
AAGCUAACGGGUGGAACCGUGAUGAUCGAAAGAGGGGAUUCAGCCGGCCAUAGGUUUGUUGGGCGGCGGGUGCGGUACGAAUGAGUGAUAGAAGACCCGGCGCUGAAAGUGAUUGGCCGUGGCUCCGUACCCGUCGAUCCGGCCCCUGUCGGCUUAGUUCCCCUCGAGUAGUAACUCGUCUCGACCCGCUGGCCGGGCCCCGAAGGCUGCGCCGGACUGGUAGCCUGUGCUUGUUGCGCAGGCGAUGACUGGCUGCGGUUCUGGCUGGGCUUGGCCGGCGGUCACUGCAGGGAGGCCGCGAGAGUGGCCUCUCGUGACGUGAAAUUCAUUGGUAAUCCACCCGACCCGUCUUGAAACACGGACCAAGGAGUCUAACAUGUGCGCGAGUCUAAGGUUUUUUUGACAAAAUCCGAAGGCGAAAUGAAAGUGAGCUCCCUCGUGGGGCAGGCCGAUCCCUUGUCGGCUGGGAUGCCGGCGGACCGGUGGCUGGCUGCCUCUGGUGGCCGCUGCCGGCGCCGUUGGAUUCUUCCCGGUCGGCGGCCGACCCUUUGCGGGGUCGGAGUCAUGGGCGCAGGCCGAGGACUUGCCAUAGUGCGGCGCGGGCAACGGGGCUUCGGCCCUUAUCCCGACGUCCGUCGGCAAGUACCUGAGAGCGCACCCGUUGGGACCCGAAAGAUGGUGAACUAUGCCUGGCGAGGACGAAGCCAGAGGAAACUCUGGUGGAGGUCCGAAGCAGUUCUGACGUGCAAAUCGAUUGUCAGAGCUGGGUAUAGGGGCGAAAGACUAAUCGAACCAUCUAGUAGCUGGUUCCCUCCGAAGUUUCCCUCAGGAUAGCUGACAUUCAGGAGGAGAUGAGUUUCAUCCGGUAAAGCGAAUGAUUAGAGGCCUUGGUGGUGCAAUGCCGUCAACCUAUUCUCAAACUUUAAAUGGGUGAGAUGUAGAGCUUGCUUGACUUAACACUGAAGCUCUAUGAUAAGAAUCAGAAUGUC